rnacentral:rRNA from 1 species
UGGGGAAUAUUGGACAAUGGGCGAAAGCCUGAUCCAGCAAUGCCGCGUGUGUGAAGAAGGUUUUCGGAUUGUAAAGCACUUUCGGCGGGGACGAUGAUGACGGUACCCGCAGAAGAAGCCCCGGCUAACUUCGUGCCAGCAGCCGCGGUAAUACGAAGGGGGCUAGCGUUGCUCGGAAUGACUGGGCGUAAAGGGCGCGUAGGCGGUUUGAUGAGUUGGGCGUGAAAUUCCUGGGCUUAACCUGGGGGCUGCGUUCAAUACCAUCAGACUUGAGUGUGGAAGAGGGUCGUGGAAUUCCCAGUGUAGAGGUGAAAUUCGUAGAUAUUGGGAAGAACACCGGUGGCGAAGGCGGCGACCUGGUCCAUUACUGACGCUGAGGCGCGAAAGCGUGGGGAGCAAACAGGAUUAGAUACCCCCGUAGUCC